rnacentral:tRNA from 1 species
AAGGGUAUAGCUCAGUGGUAGAGCCCAUGCUUAGCAUGCAGGAGGUCCUAGGUUCAAUCUCCAGUACCUCCA